rnacentral:rRNA from 1 species
UACGGGGGGGGUAAGCGUUGUUCGGAAUUACUGGGCGUAAAGGGCUCGUAGGCGGCCAACUAAGUCAGACGUGAAAUCCCUCAGCUUAACUGGGGAACUGCGUCUGAUACUGGAUGGCUUGGAUUCGGGAGAGGAAUGCGGAAUUCCAGGUGUAGCGGUGAAAUGCGUAGAUAUCUGGAGGAACACCGGUGGCGAAGGCGCACAUCUGGCCCGAUACUGACGCUGAGGCGCGAAAGCUAGGGGAGCAAACGGGG